ACGGCUCAGUAACACGUCGGUGACCUACCCUCGGGAGGGGGAUAACCCCGGGAAACUGGGGCUAAUUCCCCAUAGGCCUGAGGUACUGGAAGGUCCUCAGGCCGAAAGGGACUUAUGUCCGCCCGAGGAUGGGCCGGCGGCCGAUUAGGUAGUUGGUGGGGUAAUGGCCCACCAAGCCGAAGAUCGGUACGGGCUGUGAGAGCAGGAGCCCGGAGAUGGACACUGAGACACGGGUCCAGGCCCUACGGGGCGCAGCAGGCGCGAAACCUCCGCAAUGCGGGAAACCGCGACGGGGGGACCCCGAGUGCCGUGGCAACGCCACGGCUUUUCCGGAGUGUAAAAAGCUCCGGGAAUAAGGGCUGGGCAAGGCCGGUGGCAGCCGCCGCGGUAAUACCGGCGGCCCGAGUGGUGGCCGCUAUUAUUGGGCCUAAAGCGUCCGUAGCCGGGCCCGUAAGUCCCUGGCGAAAUCCCACGGCUCAACCGUGGGGCUUGCUGGGGAUACUGCGGGUCUUGGGACCGGGAGAGGCGGGGGGUACCCCUGGGGUAGGGGUGAAAUCCUAUAAUCCCAGGGGGACCGCCAGUGGCGAAGGCGCCCCGUUGGAACGGGUCCGACGGUGAGGGACGAAGGCCAGGGGAGCAAACCGGAUUAGAUACCCGGGUAGUCCUGGCUGUAAAGGAUGCGGGCUAGGUGUCGGGUGAGCCUCGAGCUCGCCCGGUGCCGUAGGGAAGCCGUUAAGUCCGCCGCCUGGGGAGUACGGCCGCAAGGCUGAAACUUAAAGGAAUUGGCGGGGGAG
rnacentral:rRNA from 1 species